UGGGGAAUAUUGCACAAUGGACGGAAGUCUGAUGCAGCAACGCCGCGUGCGGGAUGACGGCCUUCGGGUUGUAAACCGCUCUUUCUCAUGACGAAGUUUUUUGACGGUAGUGGGGGAAGAAGCACCGGCUAACUACGUGCCAGCAGCCGCGGUGAUACGUAGGGUGCGAGCGUUGUCCGGAAUUAUUGGGCGUAAAGAGCUUGUAGGCGGUUUGUCGCGUCGAUAGUGCAAACUCAGUGCUUAACGCUGAGCCUGCUGUUGAUACGGGCAGACUAGAGGAAGGUAGGGGGGAAUGGAAUUCCCGGUGGAGCGGUGGAAUGCGCAGAUAUCGGGAGGAACACCGGUGGCGAAGGCGGUUCUCUGGGCCUUUCCUGACGCUGAGAAGCGAAAGCGUGGGGGAGCGAACAGG
rnacentral:rRNA from 1 species